AUGAACGCUGGCGGCGUGCUUAACACAUGCAAGUCGCACGGGAAACCUUUUAUUGAAGCUUCGGCAGAUUUAGCUGGUUUCUAGUGGCGGACGGGUGAGUAACGCGUGGGUAACCUGCCCUAUACAGGGGGAUAACAACCAGAAAUGGUUGCUAAUACCGCAUAAGCGCACAGGGCCGCAUGGUCCGGUGUGAAAAACUCCGGUGGUAUAGGAUGGACCCGCGUUGGAUUAGCCAGUUGGCAGGGUAACGGCCUACCAAAGCGACGAUCCAUAGCCGGCCUGAGAGGGUGAACGGCCACAUUGGGACUGAGACACGGCCCAGACUCCUACGGGAGGCAGCAGUGGGGAAUAUUGCACAAUGGGGGAAACCCUGAUGCAGCGACGCCGCGUGAAGGAAGAAGUAUCUCGGUAUGUAAACUUCUAUCAGCAGGGAAGAUAGUGACGGUACCUGACUAAGAAGCCCCGGCUAACUACGUG
rnacentral:rRNA from 1 species